AGAUUUGAGGUGACCUGGCUUCGACAUGUCACCUCACUGACUGCCAGGGUUAAUUUGGUGGCUCUGGCCAGCUAGGCAGGUGACCUGCCUCACCACUCCAUGUGCAUCCUUCACAAAACUGUGCAAUCCAUGGAAGAACAAAAGCCUUCCCUCAGAAAUGUUCUUCGGUUGAGAACAUACGAGAAGCUGCGCUUUCUAGAUAUAAUCUCCAAAAGCUUUCAAAGAGCAUGUGUAUUGAAGGCAAACGGAAGAGUACUGGGAUAAAGAAUGAUGGGGUGGGUU
rnacentral:snRNA from 1 species